AGAGUUUGAUCAUGGCUCAGGACGAACGCUGGCGGCACGCUUAACACAUGCAAGUCGAACGAGAGAAGAGGAGCUUGCUUUUCUGAUCUAGUGGCGGACGGGUGAGUAACACGUGAGCAAUCUGCCUUUCAGAGGGGGAUACCGAUUGAAAACGAUCGUUAAUACCGCAUAACAUAAUUGAACCGCAUGAUUUGAUUAUCAAAGAUUUAUCGCUGAAAGAUGAGCUCGCGUCUGAUUAGCUAGUUGGUAAGGUAACGGCUUACCAAGGCGACGAUCAGUAGCCGGACUGAGAGGUUGAUCGGCCACAUUGGGACUGAGACACGGCCCAGACUCCUACGGGAGGCAGCAGUGGGGAAUAUUGCACAAUGGAGGAAACUCUGAUGCAGCGAUGCCGCGUGAGGGAAGAAGGUUUUAGGAUUGUAAACCUCUGUCUUCAGGGACGAAAAAAGACGGUACCUGAGGAGGAAGCUCCGGCUAACUACGUGCCAGCAGCCGCGGUAAUACGUAGGGAGCGAGCGUUGUCCGGAAUUACUGGGUGUAAAGGGAGCGUAGGCGGGAUCGCAAGUCAGAUGUGAAAACUAUGGGCUUAACCCAUAAACUGCAUUUGAAACUGUGGUUCUUGAGUGAAGUAGAGGUAAGCGGAAUUCCUAGUGUAGCGGUGAAAUGCGUAGAUAUUAGGAGGAACAUCAGUGGCGAAGGCGGCUUACUGGGCUUUAACUGACGCUGAGGCUCGAAAGCGUGGGGAGCAAACAGGAUUAGAUACCCUGGUAGUCCACGCCGUAAACGAUGAUUACUAGGUGUGGGGGGACUGACCCCUUCCGUGCCGCAGCAAACGCAAUAAGUAAUCCACCUGGGGAGUACGACCGCAAGGUUGAAACUCAAAGGAAUUGACGGGGGCCCGCACAAGCAGUGGAGUAUGUGGAUUAAUUCGAAGCAACGCGAAGAACCUUACCAGGUCUUGACAUCGUAUGCAUAGCUCAGAGAUGAGUGAAAUCUCUUCGGAGACAUAUAGACAGGUGGUGCAUGGUUGUCGUCAGCUCGUGUCGUGAGAUGUUGGGUUAAGUCCCGCAACGAGCGCAACCCUUACUGUUAGUUGCUGCGCAAGAGCACUCUAGCAGGACUGCCGUUGACAAAACGGAGGAAGGUGGGGAUGACGUCAAAUCAUCAUGCCCCUUAUGACCUGGGCCUCACACGUACUACAAUGGCUGUCAACAGAGGGAAGCAAAGCCGCGAGGUGGAGCGAACCCCUAAAAGCAGUCUUAGUUCGGAUUGUAGGCUGCAACCCGCCUACAUGAAGUCGGAAUUGCUAGUAAUCGCAGAUCAGCAUGCUGCGGUGAAUACGUUCCCGGGCCUUGUACACACCGCCCGUCACGCCAUGGGAGUCGGUAACACCCGAAGCCUGUAGUCUAACCGCAAGGAGGACGCAGUCGAAGGUGGGAUUGAUGACUGGGGUGAAGUCGUAACAAGGUA
rnacentral:rRNA from 1 species